CAGAAAGGGCCAUGGCAGGCACACUAGAGCUGAGGAGGAGAUAGCAGCCAGGGGCCUGGAGGUCGCAGUAGGGAGACAGCACUGGACACAGAGUCCAGAGACCUGAGGCAGACUCCCGGCUGUCUUGCCCCUGCAGUCUCAAUGCCAAGCCUCCCUUUGGUGGCUCAGUUUUAAGGGUUUAAAAAUCCCAUGUCCUCUCCUCAGUGGGGGCCGAUACAGUGGUGCGGCAUUCAAUGCUCCCACCAUCUGAGCCCAGUGAAUCCACGGAGUCCCUGUGGCACCGCAGAGCCCUUGCCACACCCUGGUGGAGUCAAUCUCUGUCCCUCUUGCAUCUACUCCAGUCCUGCCUGGGUCACGCAUGCAGUGGGGUGGGACAGUUGCCUGGGGAUUCACCAGCGCUUGGUGUCCCAGGCCUUUGCCAACACUGUAAGAUGGAUGGGUGGGUGGAGGGGCAGACAGGUGGAUGGAGUGACUAGGCCAGGUGGGGCAGGCCCCGUUUCCAAGCUCAGUUCUGCUUAGUGGGUGCCAAUGGCCUCCUCCCAGGAAGCUGUGGGCAGGUCCUUGGGUGAGGCACGCUUGUGGGCACUGCCCCCCCUUGUGUGUGGGGCUGCCUUAGUCACCACCCGUGAUAUUUAAAGAGAGUUCUCAUCCCUGGCACCUUCUCUGAAGCAGCGGGGCUGCCCUGCAUGCAGCAGCUGCCCACUUGGUGGGACUGGCUGGGCUGUGGUGCUAUGAAGCCUGCCUUCCCGGAAACAAAUCCCCUACCUCCUCCAGACACCGUGGCCACACUCUUCUGUCACUGCCAGGCUCCGGUCAGGAUCCUCCUACAGUGGCCCUUGGGUGCCACACUGCUCACAUAGUCCCCUGAUUGAAUCUCCACCUUGGUCCCAUGGACGAAGCCCACCUCCUGGCCUCUCACCUUGCCCAUCUCAGAGGGCUCCCAGCUGUGGCAUCUGGAACCCUGCUAGCCUGGAGCUGCCUGCUGCCAGGCAGGAAGGAUGGUUUUGAAAACUGAAAGAGUUCAUUCAUUCAGCAAGCAUCUACUGACUCCUUGGUGUUGGGCUAGUAAGGAGAUCCGCAAGGGCACAAGGAGGCCUGGUGCCCAUUCACAGGAGGACACUGACCAGCACAGAGCCAGAGCGGGGGAAGGGUGGGGUGGGCACCUCUGCACGUGCACCUGAAGGACAGGAGCCUCACCUUCGGCCUGGCCUCCGUGUAGGUCUCCCCGUACUUCUGCUGAAGCAGCCUCCAGAGGAUUGUUGCUUCCUGAUAAUCAAAGCAGCCUUUUGAGUCUGAUGGAAGAGGAAGGAGAUCCGGGGGAGAAAAAGAAAUGACCCUGUUUUUGCCUUAAGCCUUCAGGACAACCCAAUGUCCACCAGCGGAUGAGUAGAUAAACCUAUGGUGCAUAUCCCUGCAGUGGAAUAUUAUCCAGCAAUAAGAAGGAAGUACUGAUGCUAACACAUUAUAGCACGGAUGAACCUUGGAAACAUCUUGCUGACAGAAAGAGGCCAGACACAAGGACCACAUAUUGUGUAAUUCCAUUUACAGUCAGCCCUUCCUGUGCCUGUGGUUUCCGCAUCUGUGGAUUCACCCAACCCAGAUGGGUUCCACGUCAUCAGGUCUAGGAUGGCUGUGUCUGUACAGAACAUGUGCAGACUUAUUUUCCUUAUUUCCUUAUUGAUACCCCCUCAGCAGUCCAGCAUGACAACUACGUACAUAGCAUUUACAUUGUGUUCGGUGUGAUAAGUCAUGUAGACAUGGUGUAAGGUAUAUGGCAGGAUGUGGAAGUUAUGUGCAGAUGCUAUGGCAUUUUAUACAGGAGAUUUACACAUGGAUUUUGGUAUCUGGGGGUCUUGGAAUGAAACCCCUAAAGAUCCUGAGGGACACUGUCAAUGGAAUGCCUAGAAUUUGCAAAUGGGAGAGGUUGGAUGGAGGGUGGUUUCUUUUGGGUAAUGAAAAAUAAAAAUGGGUUAUGCAGCUAGUUGUACAGUGCAUUAAAAACCCCUGAACUGUGCACUUCA